UUGACCUCAAAUCAGGUAGGACCACCCGCUGAACUUAAGCAUAUCAAUAAGCGGAGGAAAAGAAACUAACAAGGAUUCCCCUAGUAACUGCGAGUGAAGAGGGAAAAGCUCAAAUUUGUAAUCUGGCGGUCUUUGGCUGUCCGAGUUGUAAUCUAGAGAAGUGCUACCUGCGCUGGACCAUGUACAAGUCUCCUGGAAUGGAGCAUCAUAGAGGGUGAGAAUCCCGUCUUUGACAUGGACUGCCAGAGCUUAUAGGUGCGCUCUCAAAGAGUCGAGUUGUUUGGGAAUGCAGCUCAAAAUGGGUGGUAAAUGCCAUCUAAAGCUAAAUAUUGGCGAGAGACCGAUAGCGAACAAGUACCGUGAGGGAAAGAUGAAAAGAACUUUGGAAAGAGAGUUAAACAGUACGUGAAAUUGCUGAAAGGGAAACGCUUGAAGUCAGUCGCAUCAGUUGGAAAUCAACCUUGCUUUUGCUGGGUGUACUUUCCGUCUGAUGGGUCAGCAUCAAUUUUGAUCGCUGGAUAAAGUUCUUGGGAACGUGGCAUCUUUGGAUGUGUUAUAGCCCUUGGACAUAUACAGUGGUUGGGAUUGAGGAACUC
rnacentral:rRNA from 1 species